rnacentral:rRNA from 1 species
GAUGAACGCUGGCGGCGUGCCUAAUACAUGCAAGUCGAGCGAACAGACGAGGAGCUUGCUCCUCUGACGUUAGCGGCGGACGGGUGAGUAACACGUGUAUAACCUACCUAUAAGACGGGUAUAACUUCGGGAAACCGGAUCUAAUACCGUAUAAUAUAUUGAACCGCAUGGUUCAAUAGUGAAAGACGGUGGUUCGGUCACUUAUAGAGGGAUCCGCGCCGCAUUAGAUGGUUGGUAAGUUAACGGCUUACCAAGGCGACGAUGCGUAGCCGAAGUGAGAGGGUGAUAGGCCACACUGGAACUGAGACGCGGUCAAGAGUACUACGGGAGGCAGCAGUAGGGAAUCUUACGCAAUGGGCGAAAGCCUGACGGAGCAACGCCGAGUGAGUGAUGACGGUCUUCGGAUCGUAAAACUCUGUUAUUAGGGAAGAACAAAUGUGUAAGUAACUAUGCACGUAUUGACGGUACCUAAUCAGAAAGCCACGGCUAACUACGUG